AGACCCGAAACCCGGUGAUCUAGCCAUGGGCAGGUUGAAGGUUGGGUAACACUAACUGGAGGACCGAACCGACUAAUGUUGAAAAAUUAGCGGAUGACCUGUGGCUGGGGGUGAAAGGCCAAUCAAACCGGGAGAUAGCUGGUUCUCCCCGAAAGCUAUUUAGGUAGCGCCUCGUGAAUUCAUCUCCGGGGGUAGAGCACUGUUUCGGCUAGGGGGCCAUCCCGGCUUACCAACCCGAUGCAAACUGCGAAUACCGGAGAAUGUUAUCACGGGAGACACACGGCGGGUGCUAACGUCCGUCGUGAAGAGGGAAACAACCCAGACCGCCAGCUAAGGUCCCAAAGUCAUGGUUAAGUGGGAAACGAUGUGGGAAGGCCCAGACAGCCAGGAUGUUGGCUUAGAAGCAGCCAUCAUUUAAAGAAAGCGUAAUAGCUCACUGGUCGAGUCGGCCUGCGCGGAAGAUGUAACGGGGCUAAACCAUGCACCGAAGCUGCGGCAGCGACGCUUAUGCGUUGUUGGGUAGGGGAGCGUUCUGUAAGCCUGUGAAGGU
rnacentral:rRNA from 1 species